rnacentral:rRNA from 1 species
UACGGGGGGGGCAAGCGUUGUUCGGAAUUACUGGGCGUAAAGGGCUCGUAGGCGGCCAACUAAGUCAGACGUGAAAUCCCUCGGCUCAACCGGGGAACUGCGUCUGAUACUGGAUGGCUUGAAUCCGGGAGAGGGAUGCGGAAUUCCGAGUGUAGAGGUGAAAUUCGUAGAUAUUCGGAAGAACACCAGUGGCGAAGGCGGCUCACUGGACUGGUAUUGACGCUGAGGUGCGAAAGCGUGGGGAGCAAACAGG